rnacentral:rRNA from 1 species
CACGGAGUUAGCCGAUGCUUAUUCAUACGGUACAUGCAGGGAGCCACACGUGGCUCUUGUUAUUCCCGUAUAAAAGAAGUUUACAAUCCAUAAGACAGUCAUCCUUCACGCGACUUGGCUGGUUCAGGCUCUCGCCCAUUGACCAAUAUUCCUCACUGCUGCCUCCCGUAGGAGUCUGGUCCGUGUCUCAGUACCAGUGUGGGGGUUCAACCUCUCAGUUCCCCUACCCAUCGUCGCCUUGGUGAGCCGUUACCUCACCAACUAGCUAAUGGGACGCAUGCCUAUCUCACAGCGAAUUUCAUUUCCUCUACUUUGGAUGCCCAAAGUGGAGUGUACGCGGUAUUAGUCCGUCUUUCGACGGGUUAUCCCCCUCUGUGAGGCAAGUUGCAUACGCGUUACGCACCCGUGCGCCGGUCGCCAUCAGUCUUAGCAAGCUAAGACCAUGCUGCCCCUCGACUUGCAUGUGUUAAGCCUAUCGCUAGCGUUCAUCC